rnacentral:rRNA from 1 species
CGUAGGGGGCGGCAGUGGGGAAUUUUGCGCAAUGGGGGAAACCCUGACGCAGCAACGCCGCGUGGGUGAUGAAGGCCUUCGGGUCGUAAAGCCCUGUCGGGAGGGAAGAAAUGAUUGAGAGCUAAUACCUCUUGGUCUUGACGGUACCUCCGAAGGAAGCACCGGCUAACUCCGUGCCAGCAGCCCCGGUC